CUCAAAGUGUGCUCUCUUGAUGGGCCCUGUCAGCACCAUUACCACUCAGGAGCUUUUUAGAAACUUAAAUUCUCAGGCUUUCUCUAAAACCUACUUCAUCAGAAUCUCUGGGGGUGAGGUCCAGGAAUUUAUGUUUUAACAAGCUGUCCUGGUGAUCCUUCUUCCUGUUACAGUUUGAGAAGCACUGGUCCCUGGCACUACCGGGAGCUGAGAAUACCUCUUCUUUUUAAUGUUGGGAAUUUGACCAACAUUAAAGGCUUGCACGUUUGUAUAAAAAUUAGAAAUCUGCAUAAGACAUUUGCUGUACAUUAACACAUGCACACACAUGCACACACAUGCUGCAUGAGCAUGAACCUCACAGACCCAGGACAUUGCCCAUUACAUCGAGCUCAUGGAGACAGAAAGCAAGAGUAUUAGCUGGGUGCAACCUCAUGAAAUAGGAAUACAGACCAGCUCUAGCUGGAGUAGAAAGUCAGGGGAGGUAAUGCCUACUAUGCAUAUCCUAUAUUUCUCACUCCCUGACCAGGAAAGGAAAUAAAAAAGAAAGCCAUUUGCUCUGAGACAUGAACAGUGUCUCCAGUGGAAGGACUGAAAAUACCCCAAGGGAGGAGUGGACCGCUGAAAGGGAAAGUGGGAAUAAUGAAACCUGGGUUCAGGUAUACAUGCAUUUCUUCUGUCCUCCCCUGUCUUCUCAUCCCCUCUCCGCUCAUUUUUUCCCUUCCCUCUCUCUGUCUUAUGGACACAUGCAUGUGUGUGCAAUCACACACAAAUAAACACCCUAUGAGAAACAUAAGCCAAACAAAGCCAUCAGACUUUUGUUCAAGGUAAAUGUCACUAACCAAGGCAAUUCAUUGUGCCAAAAAAUUAAAGAUGAGUUUAAAGGGAAAAUUAAUUAGAUCUCUGAGGAAUGUGAGCAUUUUGAAACAAGGAUAACAAACUCAAAUUACAACAAAAUUUAACAAUUUCAAAGACAGAGAAAAUUCUAAAGUCUUCCAGAGCCAAAAAGAGAAAAAUUAAAAAUUAAAAAAAGGAGAUAAAACCAUCACCUCCAAAAUCAGGAAUCAGAGAGGGAUUCUUUUCAACAGCAAUGCUGGUUAGAAGGCACUGGAGCUAUAUCUUCAAAGUUCAGAAGGAAAAUACAUUUAAACCUAGAAUCUUAUUUCCAGUUAAGCCAUAGUUUAAAUGUGAGGAGAAAUAAAUAUUACAGAAAGUUCACCAUAUAUUCUCUUUGAAAUAACUAUUAUAGGUCAAACUCCAGGAAGAAAAAUGAAUCAAGUCAGGAGCAGGCAGUGAUAUGUGUGUGAAAGAGCACAGAGUUGUGUACUGUGAUUGUUUAAAUGAGCAAUUACUACAGAUAAACCCAUUUGGGCAAUAUGAAUCUGAAACAAAAUUCUAAAUACAAAUAGUAGCUUGGGGUAUACAGAUGUAUGUCAAAGUGUGUUAAGAACCAGUUAAAAUGAUAUGUUUGGGAAAAAGACUGAGAUAUUGAUAAACUUUAGAUAGUUCCCUUAGUUUAGUGAUUUAGAAGUAACUGCUAGAAGAAUAAAAGUAGAAUGAGUAACUUUCAAAGUAGCAGAAGCAGAUUUGAUUAUUCACUAAAUGAAAGGAAAGGAGAAAAAGAAACAAAACCCAGGAAGAAAGCAUGUUGUCUUUCCCCUAGCUUCCCUCAAGUUUUCUGUAUUUAGGUAGUUACUCUGGAAAGCAUCCCAAAGAACAGAGGACUGGCAAGAGUGACACUGAGUAGGAGGGAAAGCCAACUUAGUGGAAUCAAUUUAAGACUACAUCAUCAAGUCGAUCAGAAUGGCAGGCAACUGGGCUCAGUCCAUUAGGGUCUUCAGAGGAGCUGUGGAGAAUCCACCUUAGAAUUAUCUACUCAAAGGAUAGAGGAGAGGGAUAUUUAUCCUUCAGCUCCCAUGUGUCAUUGAUCAUGGGUUGCCCAUGGUUGUUAAUUUGUCCACACUUCUUGGUUCACCCAUAUGUCUCAAUGGUGAGAGGUUCUUGCAGGUGUCCCAGGCAGUGGUAGUAAAGAAUCCUUGGAAUAGAAAGCUAGAGAUCUGCAGUGCAGCUGAGACAAUGUGUUGUCAGGUUAUACCUGCACACAGGUGGUGGCUUCAACAAAGGCUGGAGUUAAAAGAAAAGCCAAAAGAUGGCAGCAACAAUUGUAAUGAUAAUCCUUGUACAGCGGUUCAACUCAUUAGGUUAAAGAAAUGUAGUACUAUGUUAUUUAAACUUCAAGGGGUGCAUACAAAAAUAUUAAUAUACUGCUCCCCCAAAGACUUGACACACAAUCUAUAUCCUUUGACUUUAAUGAAAUAAAACUAGAACUGAAAAACAAGGGACGCCUGAGUGGCUCAGCGGUUGAGUGCCUGCCUUUGGCUCAGGGCGUGAUCCCGGAUUCUUGGGUUUGAGUCCUGUAUCUGGCUUCCUGCAUGGAGCCUGCUUCUCCCUCUGCCUGUGUCUCUGCCUCUCUGUGUGCAUCUCUCAUGAAUAAAUAAAUAAAACCUUAAAAAAAAAAAGCACUGAAAAACAGCUUCUUGGGGGAACUUUCUCCUUAUAUUCCCUCUUUUUCCUUUUUUUAUUUGUUAUAGUAAAUUUGGUUAUUUGAAUGAGUCCUGAUGAAAGCAACUAGAUAUGUUGUAUAAAUAAUUUAAAAGAUUUUUUUUUAAUUAAUGAAGAGCAAACAAUAUUGUGAGGGGUUACCAAGUAAAGCCUGAAGGAGACAGAGGAAUCUAAAGAGGUAAGCCAAUAUAGAGUCCUCUUUUCACCUGAAAAGUGUUUACCAAUCCCAGUAAAUUUGAACUUCUAUUUCACUAACUUCAUUUGAGUAAGAGAUGAGAAAAAAAAAAAAAAAGCCCAGGGUCAGACAAGAUGUGGAAUCUAAUACUAGACACUUCCCAUGAUAAGCUAGGUUCCCAAAAGGUCACAUUCUGAGGCUACGGGUUAACUAGGAAUGAACCCGCAUUUAUGAGGUAUUAACAAUAUAGAUUUGCAUUAUUGAGAUAGACUCAGAGACCUUAAGUCUUGAGCAUGGAUUAAAGUGGCCUUGAUGUGGGAAUAAAAUUAAAGUAAUGUCUCUAGCUAUCUGGCAGAAACCAAUUUGAAACUUCUCUGGAAAAAGUUAACUUUACCCAAGAUCUCAGAAUAGUCUUACAAUAUUUUUCAAAGGACAAUGGCCACAAAGCAGCCAAAAAUAACCAAGUUAAUAAACAAAACACUACAAAUGAGAAUUGGGAAAAGCAAAAGACAAAAGAAACAGAUCUGCAAGUCUUUAGACACCAGAAUGAUCAGCCAAAGACUAUAAAACAACUGUUUAAAUAAAUAAAGACCAAUUUGGAGGAAAAAGUUUGUAGGGAAGAAGAACCUAUAAAGACUGACAGAUCACAUUUAAAGGGAAGCAAAUAAAACCUCUAGAACUGAAAAAUACAAUGUCCCAAAUUAAGAACUCUGUGGAUAGGUUAAGCAGUAGAUUAUAUAGAGCUAAAGAAAGAAUUAGUAUACCGAAAGAUAAGUAGAGAGAAAAUAUCUAGAAUGCAGCAUUGGGAGAUAAUAAAAUAAAAUAUAUGAAAGAAGGUAAUAUGUUUAAAGGAUAGAAUAAGAAGGGUUAACAUAAUUGGAGUCUCAGAAAGAAAGAAACCAAUACUUUAAAAGGUAAUAGCUAAAAUUGUACUAUUAGGUAUUUAUCCAAAGGAAACAAAAAUGAUGACUUGAAGGAGCACAUGCACCCCCAUGUUUAUAGCAGCACUAUCAACAAUAGCCAAAUUAUGUAAAGGGCCCAAAUGUCAUCGACUGAUGAGUGGAUAAAGAAAAUGUGGCAUAUAUAUAUAUAUAUAUUUUUUUUUAAAUAUAUAAACUUAAAUAAUAUGGAGUCACUAAAGCACCUAGACACCUAGACAAGAGUAAAUCUUUUUUGGAGGAAAAAUAGCAUCAUAGCAUCAUCCUGGUCCUCAAAAUAUUUCUACAAUUUUUAAUAUUCAAUUCCAAUAUCAAGCUAAAGAAACCUGAGGCAUUCUAGGAAACAUCCCAAAAUAGUAAGAGAAAUAAUAGAUAAUAGAGAUAUACAAAGAUACAGAUAUUAUCACAUAUGAGUACUUAAAAUAACCCUUAAUAUUUGCAAGGAACUAUAAGUAAGAUUUAGAAUUUUGACAAGGAACUAAAGACUAUACAAAAGAGCUGGAAAGAAAUUCCA
rnacentral:lncRNA from 1 species